ACCAGACUCCUACGGGAGGCAGCAGUGGGGGAUAUUGCACAAUGGGGGGAACCCUGAUGCAGCGACGCCGCGUGGGUGAAGAAGCGCCUCGGCGCGUAAAGCCCUGUCAGCAGGGAAGAAAAUGACGGUACCUGAAGAAGAAGCCCCGGCUAACUACGUGCCAGCAGCCGCGGUAAUACGUAGGGGGCAAGCGUUAUCCGGAUUUACUGGGUGUAAAGGGGGCGCAGACGGCGAUGCAAGCCAGGAGUGAAAGCCCGGGGCCCAACCCCGGGACUGCUCUUGGAACUGCGUGGCUGGAGUGCAGGAGGGGCAGGCGGAAUUCCUGGUGUAGCGGUGAAAUGCGUAGAUAUCAGGAGGAACACCGGUGGCGAAGGCGGCCUGCUGGACUGCAACUGACGUUGAGGCCCGAAAGCGUGGGGAGCAAACAGGAUUAGAUACCCGUGUACC
rnacentral:rRNA from 1 species